UGGGGAAUAUUGCACAAUGGGCGCAAGCCUGAUGCAGCCAUGCCGCGUGUAUGAAGAAGGCCUUCGGGUUGUAAAGUACUUUCAGUCGGGAGGAAGGUGUCAAGGUUAAUAACCUUGGCAAUUGACGUUACCGACAGAAGAAGCACCGGCUAACUCCGUGCCAGCAGCCGCGGUAAUACGGAGGGUGCAAGCGUUAAUCGGAAUUACUGGGCGUAAAGCGCACGCAGGCGGUUGAUUGAGUCAGAUGUGAAAUCCCCGGGCUUAACCCGGGAAUUGCAUCUGAUACUGGUCAGCUAGAGUCUUGUAGAGGGGGGUAGAAUUCCAUGUUUAGCGGUGAAAUGCGUAGAGAUGUGGAGGAAUACCGGUGGCGAAGGCGGCCCCCUGGACAAAGACUGACGCUCAGGUGCGAAAGCGUGGGGAGCAAACAGG
rnacentral:rRNA from 1 species